CACACACACACACACACACACACAAUAAGCACACUGUGGUAAGACUGUUUUGGGUUGCAUUUUGUCUGCAUUUAGCCAAUCUGUAACAAUCAGAAGAAUAAAAUACACAUCCAAACAUCUUGACCUUUCAACAAACAGCAAGAUGGAAAUGAACCUUGUGAAGGAAACAGCAACAUAAAGUGUUUUAAUAGGAGGUAACUGGCAGAAUAAAGGAAACUCCAACAGUGUUUUAAUAGGAGGUCGGGUCGUCCACCAGGUAACUGGCAGAAUAAAGGAAACACCAACAGUGUUUUAAUAGGAGGUCGGGUCGUCCACCAGGUAACUGGCAGAAUAAAGGAAACUCCAACAGUGUUUUAAUAGGAGGUCGGGUCGUCCACCAGGUAACUGGCAGAAUAAAGGAAACUCCAACAGUGUUUUAAUAGGAGGUCGGGUCGUCCACCAGGUAACUGGCAGAAUAAAGGAAACUCCAACAGUGUUUUAAUAGGAGGUCGGGUCGUCCACCAGGUAACUGGCAGAAUAAAGGAAACUCCAACAGUGUUUUAAUAGGACGUCGGGUCGUCCACCAGGUAACUGGCAGAAUAAAGGAAACUCCAGGUCCUCCACCAACCACCAGGUAACUGGCAGAAUAAAGGAAACUCCAACAGUGUUUUAAUAGGACGUCGGGUCGUCCACCAGGUAACUGGCAGAAUAAAGGAAACUCCAGGUCCUCCACCAACCACCAGGUAACUGGCAGAAUAAAGGAAACUCCAACAGUGUUUUAAUAGGAGGUCGGGUCAUCCACCAGGUAACUGGCAGAAUAAAGGAAACACCAACAGUGUUUUAAUAGGAGGUCGGGUCAUCCACCAGGUAACUGGCAGAAUAAAGGAAACUCCAACAGUGUUUUAAUAGGAGGU